GUGAUAAACAGCAGGGACAGAAUAAGGUCCUUUUUUUUUUGUUGUUUCCCAAGGAUUAUUAGCUUGAAAGUUAAUAUCAUAUAUGGGCUGUGGCUUAUUGUCCUAUGAGAAAUAGAAGAACCAGCAAUAGAAGAGACCCAGAUCAAGUUUGACUGAAAGGCAAACACCAUUCCCAACUGGCUUUACCAUCUGUCUUUCCACAGAGACAACUCACAGGCUAUAAAGUGCUUAACAUUUCCCUGGCUUCAGAAGGCACUAGGGAAGGAGAUGGAAUCUGGCUCUGUCGCCCAGGGUGGAGUGCAGUGGCAGGAUCUCGGCUCACUGCAAGUUCUGCCUCCUGGAUUCACUCCAUUCUCCUGCCUCAGCCUCCCAAGUAGCUGCGACUACAGGCUAAUAAAGAGAAGCAUGUGAUACUUCUAAGCGUAGACCUUUGAUCCCUUAAAAAACCAAAGUAAAUAACUGAA